UGCACUUCGGCAGACACAAAACAAAAGAAAUUAAUCUUAGCAAAUGAACGGUAGAAGAACUUGAUCGUCUUAAUAUUAUUCACGUGACUGGAACAAAAGGAAAGGGUUCAACGUGUGCCUUUACAGAACAGAUUUUGAGAAAGUAUGGCUUCCGGACUGGAUUCUACAGGU